UCAAUUUUAUUUAUAUAGCGCUUUUCACAAUUUGGUAAUUGUAUCAAAGCAGCUUUACAUAAUAGAUGCAGUGAAAAGCACAGAAAAUCGACAGAUAGCACAACAUAAUACACGAUAGUACAAGCAGCUAAAUUUGCUGCGGCUUUAAAUCAACAUUAUAAGCGAACGUAUUACUAAUGUGACUAAUUUAUACACGUAUCAUAAUUCCGAGGGCUAUAUAAAGACGUAAGUGCCAUUACAUUCAGUUUUACAUGGCAUUAAAUACGCCGCCAGCUUCGUUCGUUUAGGUUGGCUUGUUUGAUAUGCCCGUUGGAUAGUAAAUACGUUUUCUACUGUUUUUGUUUAAUGUUUUAAACGUCCCCUUUGGACAAAGCCUUACGUUUUUUUCUUAACUAACGUUAUAUGACGACAUUUACGUUACUUCAAAGCCCAGUUAACUGUUAACUUAAAACGAGAUUAAUAUAAGUUAAAGUAAAUGCAUUCUUUGCUUUUUCAGAUUAUUAAAAUGAGAUUUUUGACAAUUACAGCCCGUAACAAAUAUCUGGUAAUUAAUUACUGAAAACCAUUUUUUGUACACGAACAGUUAAAGCAGCCCAUCCCCCGCUGUACAGCAGUGCUGCUGGGUCAAAACAACCCAAUUGCUGGAACAUCUGUCGCGGGGAUUUUGGAUCGUCAGCAGGACUUUACAAGCAGACAUUCUUCAGCGGUUCUUUUCUGGUGAAAUAAAGGUGGUCCGAGUUUCCAUGAGUUUCCUAGGCUAACUACCCCAGGCAUGAUUGCACAAGACUUUUACACAUUACACCAGGAUGCAGCUCCAAAACUCUUCGAGAAAUGGCUCCCUUGAUAUACCGAUAGGAUCUUGCAUUUUUCUAAACCAGAACCAAAGCUUCCAUGUUCAGUUGAGGAGAUGACACAAGAUGCAAAGGGAUAUCUUGCAUUAAAGCUGCUCCCUGUUUUGCUUCCACCCUUCAAAACUGCCAGAAAAAGUCCGGCCCAGCAUUGAUGAUGGCAAAAAAGCUUUCAUCGACAUUCAGCGUGUUGGAACAAAUAUGAUGGAGUACCUCCAGCAGGCUGAAGCAUCAGGACUUUACCCUUAUUUCCUGUCACUUGAAAAAGGACACAUGAGUCCCAGGCAUUCGUCAUCAUUGGAGGAGAAACUUUGGACAAGGCACUUAGAUUGGGGUAGUAGAAGCACUACAUUCUUGCAAGUAAAUGACAAGAGGUUUUUUGAAUAGACUGGGUUUCAGGUACAAGAGUUAUCAUUUUAGUUUUUUUACAGACUUAAAGGUGCUCCAAGCGAAUCUGUGUGACGUUACUUUUUGUUGAUGUUUGAACUGUUUUCAAACAAACGGAGCGUAGCUAACUCCUCCCCUCCCUUCCGUGCGUUCAUGAACGCGCACAACCCUCACCCCCAAAUCCUUCUUGUCGUUAAUUGGCUGGAACACUUUGUUAUCCUUUCUGGUGGUAGGUUUGGCCACUUUGUUUUUAUUGCAGUUUGUGGAGCCUAGGCUGUCUACAGAGAUCACGUUUUUUACAGUUUGAUCAGCGGACAGGCAGCAAGCAGAUAGUGAGGAGAUGUUUGCUGUAUGUAACAAAAAAUGUUUUAUGGUCUAAAACGUGUGAAUUCACUUACAGCACCUUUAAGGAAGAGUAUUACUUGAUGAAUAUUAAUGACAUGUUUAUGAAAUGUUACACUGGCAAAAUGCUGUAUUUCAUAGGUUUUUUUUUUGUGUGUGUUCAUAAUGUAGACUAAAACAAUACUGCUUUGUAACAAACAAAGGUUCUUAAAGGUA